GCAACUCCUUGCCUUCACCUUUUCCUUCACCUCUCUCUGGGCUCAAAACCUAAAAGUAGGAGAGCCACUCAGACAUCUAAAUUAAAUGGUGAGUUGAAAACAAACAAAAGAACCAAAGAAAAGGCUUUCCUAAUGCUCGGAUCAUGAGGUUAAUGGCUGUGCCUGAAUAAAUGAGAUGUGAGGCAGGGUACAGCAAGACAAUGUUCCUACUUUGUUGACUGAUCUGGGGAGGGCAGAGCAGCCAGGAAAAUAUUAUGCAGGAAUGAUGAAUUGUGUGACUGAGGGAGAGAACAACUCUGUGUGAAUUCUUUCCCUGUUCAUUUCAUCUUAUUCAGACUAAAACUCCCAGAACUGACAGAAACUUCAGGGCUCAUGAAGGCUGUGAUUCCACAGAACCAUCCUCAUGCUCCUUCAGUGUGUGUGUGUGGCUGCCUGGAAGAACAGGGUCCCGCCACUGCAAGCAGACCUUGCUCCUUGGGGAUAAGCUACGUUUAAGCCCUCCUUGAUACAAAAACCCUGCUGGGGUUGUUACCUGCAGUGUCCCACGAAAAGGCACAUUGUGGUAAAGGAUUGGUUGCUGAUGGGCUGUGGACAAGCAAGUGGAUCACGAGGACUCUGACUUCAUCAUGAGAGUCUAAUUUGAUAGCAUUAUUGAGAGGUGUUGGAAAUGGGAGGUGGGGCUUAGCUGAAGGCUGUACAUCAUGGGGCUCAUCAGGGUACGAGCUUCAUGGCUAUGUCCGGUCCCUGGCCCCUUCCUGUCUAGCUGUUUCCCUUGUUCUCUUCUUCCCAGGCCAAGAGAUGAACCGCUGUGGUCCACCACAUGCUGCUGCCAUGAUGUUCUGCCUCACCUCAAGCCGCCAGCAUUGGAACCACCUGACCAUGCACAGAAACCUCUAAACCUUGAGCCAGAAUACACCUUUCCUCCUUUAAAUUGCUUUUCUCAGAUAUUUGGUCACAGUGAAAAAGAACUGACCAACAAAAAGCCCUUCAGCAAGAAGGCCAGGUCA
rnacentral:lncRNA from 1 species